GAUGAACGCUGGCGGCGUGCCUAAUACAUGCAAGUCGAGCGAACGGACGAGAAGCUUGCUUCUCUGAUGUUAGCGGCGGACGGGUGAGUAACACGUGGAUAACCUACCUAUAAGACUGGGAUAACUUCGGGAAACCGUAGCUAAUACCGGAUAAUAUUUUGAACCGCAUGGUUCAAAAGUGAAAGACGGUCUUGCUGUCACUUAUAGAUGGAUCCGCGCUGCAUUAGCUAGUUGGUAAGGUAACGGCUUACCAAGGCAACGAUGCAUAGCCGACCUGAGAGGGUGAUCGGCCACACUGGAACUGAGCCGCGGUCCAGACUCCUACGGGAGGCAGCAGUAGGGAAUCUUCCGCAAUGGGCGAAAGCCUGACGGAGCAACGCCGCGUGAGUGAUGAAGGUCUUCGGAUCGUAAAACUCUGUUAUUAGGGAAGAACAUAUGUGUAAGUAACUGUGCACAUCUUGACGGUACCUAAUCAGAAAGCCACGGCUAACUACGUG
rnacentral:rRNA from 1 species